rnacentral:tRNA from 1 species
GCGAGUAUGGCGGAACUGGUAGACGCAUUAGAUUUAGGAUCUAAUGGAUUUUUCCGUGCAGGUUCAAGUCCUGCUACUUGUA